GAUGAACGCUGGCGGCGUGCCUAAUACAUGCAAGUCGAGCGAACAGACGAGGAGCUUGCUCCUCUGACGUUAGCGGCGGACGGGUGAGUAACACGUGGAUAACCUACCUAUAAGACUGGGAUAACUUCGGGAAACCGGAGCUAAUACCGGAUAAUAUAUUGAACCGCAUGGUUCAAUAGUGAAAGACGGUUUUGCUGUCACUUAUAGGUGGAUCCGCGCCGCAUUAGCUAGUUGGUAAGGUAACGGCUUACCAAGGCAACGAUGCGUAGCCGACCUGAGAGGGUGAUCGGCCACACUGGAACUGAGACACGGUCCAGACUCCUACGGGAGGCAGCAGUAGGGAAUCUUCCGCAAUGGGCGAAAGCCUGACGGAGCAACGCCGCGUGAGUGAUGAAGGUCUUCGGAUCGUAAAACUCUGUUAUUAGGGAAGAACAAAUGUGUAAGUAACUAUGCACGUCUUGACGGUACCUAAUCAGAAAGCCACGGCUAACUACGU
rnacentral:rRNA from 1 species